CCUACGGUAGGCUGCAGUGGGGAAUAUUGCGCAAUGGGCGGGAGCCUGAACCAGCCAAGUCGCGUGAAGGAAGACGGUCCUAUGGAUCGUAAACCUCUGUCAGCAGGGAAGAACGGUCACUGUGCUAAUCAGCAGUAAAUUGACGGUACCUGCAAAGUAAGCACAGGCUAACUCCGUGCCAGCAGCCGCGGUAAUACGGAGGGUGCGAGCGGUAAUCGGAAUUACUGGGGGUAAAGCGCUCGUAGGCGGUAUGUCAAGGCAAGGGUGAAAUGCCCGCGCUCAACGUUGGAACUGCCUUUGAUACUGGCGAACUGGAGAGUGUGAGAGGAUAGUGGAAUGCCAGGUGUAGGAGUGAAAUGCGUAGAGAUCUGGAGGAACAUCAGUGGCGAAGGCGACUAACUGGCACAUAACUGACGUUGAGGAGCGAAAGCGUGGGUAGCAAACAGGAUUAGAUACCCGGGUAGUC
rnacentral:rRNA from 1 species